UUAUAUAAAAUUUCAUUACCAGUGCACCAUAAUUGUACAAAUAAACUGGUUUUGUGCAUUUAAUUACAUUUAUUUUUUAAUUAUCAA